rnacentral:rRNA from 1 species
UACGUAGGUGGCGAGCGUUGUCCGGAUUUACUGGGCGUAAAGGGCGUGCAGGCGGUUUGUUAAGUGCAGGGUGAAAGCUCCCGGCUCAACUGGGAGAGGUCCUUGCAUACUGGCGAACUCGAGGGAGGCAGAGGAAAGUGGAAUUCCCGGUGUAGUGGUGGAAUGCGUAGAGAUCCGGAAGAACACCGGUGGCGAAGGCGGCCUGCUGGGCAGUAGCUGACGCUGAUGCGCGACAGCGUGGGGAGCAAACAGG